rnacentral:rRNA from 1 species
GAUGAACGCUAGCGGCAGGCUUAAUACAUGCAAGUCGAGGGGCAUCAAGGUACACGAAAGUGUAUUGUUGGCGACCGGCGGACGGGUGAGUAAUAGGUAGGUAACCUACCUCAUACUGAGGCAUAGCUGGGAGAAAUUCCAGGUAAUUCCUCAUGAGGUUAUAUGACACAUGUGAUAUAAUCAAAGGUAUCGCAAGGUACUGGUAUGAGAUGGGCUUACUGACCAUUAGCUAGUUGGUGAGAUAAGAGCUCACCAAGGCGAAGAUGGUUAGGGGUUUGAGAGAGAGAUCCCCCACAUUGGAACUGAGAUACGGUCCAGACUCCUACGGGAGGCAGCAGUAGGGAAUAUUGGGCAAUGGGCGGAAGCCUGACCCAGCCAUGCCGCGUGAAGGAAGACGGCCUUAUGGGUUGUAAACUUCUUUACUAUGCGACUAACUAGAUUUACGAGAUAAUCUAUAGAAUGUAGCAUAGACAAAAAGCACGGA